CCAAGUCUUCCGCUUUCCCUCCGUAGAACUCUCUGUAUAUUUCUGCCAAGUCUUCCCCUCUCUCUCUCUAGAACGGUGUAUAAAAUGCAACCUGCACCUUCAUUUUAGAAAGAAAAACCCAUUGCACAAAAGUUAAAUACCAUCACUGCACAAGAGUUAGCGAGAGACCCAAUCUUACAAAAGUUUGAGAAUAAGAGUUAGAGAGAGAAUGAGGAGAGUUAGGGAAAUCAACAUACCGAUUAGAUCUCGAGCACCAUCGAAAAAAAGAUAUUCAAUGUCGGGUAUGUUAAGUCCGGUUGAGUUAAUAUCUGAAAAUUUUACCUUUUUAAAUAUUUACUUCACUUUCCAUAAAGUAAUAAAUUCUAGUUUUGUUUCUUGAUAAAUAAUUGUACUUGAAGAUGUAGCAAAUGAGAAUCGGUUUUAUUUUUAUUUUUUUUAUUUUAAGUGUAGUUGAUUAUAAUUGGACAUUAUAAAUUAUCUUGCCGGUAUAAGGGUAAAAAUUUUUUUAAAUACAUGUACAUCGUGUUUUAUCGUAAAGUCCUUACGGUCACUUGCCAAGGUGCAGAGGGUGCCAUGAGCCCUUGCUAGCAUUGGAGAUGACCAAGGGCACCCAAAAGCCCAGGGAUAUAUAGCAGUUGGAAAAGACCAAGGGCACCCAAAAGCUCUGGGAUACAGAAGUAAGGGUGGAGGGGCGGCCAUCGGACUAUGCUCGAGCUGUCGGGACUCUCGAGCUCGAGGCUGUUGGGUUAUCUGCUUGUAAUGACGAGGCUGUUGGGUUAUUUGCUUGACGACUGGGGGUAAUGAGGACGGACCGAGGGCUGCUGGUGCUUGACGACUGGGGGUAAUGAGGACGGACCGAGGGCUGCUGGCUCUGGAAUUUGAGUAGCGUGGGAUUGGGGGUGAUGAGGGGGAAGAAGAUUGGCUCUUAAUUGAUGAUAAAAUUUGGAGUUAACUCUCUCUGGUUCUCCUCUCUCUCUCAAAAUUUGGAACUUGCUCUGCUUCUCCUCGUUCUCUAAAGAUUCAGAUUUUGCAGCCUGUCUAAAUAUUUAGCGCAAGAAUAAGGUGUCCCUUUCUUUCUCUCUAGACUAGUACUCUCUUUCCAGGGAGGCAGACAAAAACGUAUGAAAUAUAUCUGAAUAUUUG
rnacentral:lncRNA from 1 species